rnacentral:rRNA from 1 species
UACGAAGGGGGCGAGCGUUGUUCGGAUUUACUGGGCGUAAAGGGCGCGUAGGCGGCCAUCUUUGUCAGGCGUGAAAGCCCAGGGCUCAACCUUGGAAUUGCCUUUGAUACUGGCUGUCUUGAGUUCGGGAGAGGUGAGUGGAAUGCCGAGUGUAGAGGUGACAUUCGUAGAUAUUCGGCGGAACACCAGUGGCGAAGGCGACUCACUGGCCCGAUACUGACGCUGAGGCGCGAAAGCGUGGGGAGCAAACAGG